GUGUGGAAUAUUCCUAGAGCUGUAGUAAUCAUUCGAUGACUAUAUUUUGUGAUCUAGGAUCGGAAGUUCGCAUUUAGCACUAAAACAAUAAAUAAUAAACAACCAAAAACCAAAAACCGAAAUCGUAACCGCUUGAAACCAAUUCGCAAUAAAGUGCGGAACCGGAUUGUCAACCCAAUUGAGAGAAAAGCAACAAACUGAUAACUUAACCAAUAACUAAUCAAAGCGAAACGCAUUCGCAUUAUUGGAUAUUUGUUGUAAAAACUGAUGUAAUACGUUGUUUUUAUUACACGGCGCUCAAGUGAGAUAAGACACCAGACCCAGCAGCAUGUGAAUCGGAAUCUGGAAUUGGAUUUGGAAUUGCCAACGAAAUCUCGGUGUCUUUAAAUCUACAUCUGCGAAUCGAGUUUCGAGUUAGGAUUUGAGUCAUUUUACUUUUUUUUCUGAGCUGAUAUACAUACAAACAUAUAUAUGCGUGUGCGUACACCCGAGACGGACGCCGCACAAUUCUUUUAUUUUGAUUUCCGUCGCUGCUUUGCGUCACCAGCAACGCGUUCAGUCGUCGACAGCAGUCGGGCCCCCCUAAUGCUGGGACCCAUAUACGUACAUAUGCACACACAAACGCAACGCGGACUAUGCGUGUGUGUGUUCUCGUGGUUUCAACACACGCUAAUAGAUGUCGCUGCUGUAGUUGUUGUUGUUGCUGGCGCUGCCUGUUGCCUGUUGGCAACAUGAAAUGCAACGUCAAAGGUAAAAAUAAAUAAAUAAUAAUGCAAUAAAAAAAAUGGCAAAAAGUAAUAAAAUUGCAAGUCGCCUCAUCGCACAAAAAAGAAAAACAAAAUGUACUAAUAAAAGCUGCACAAGCCAAGCACAAGCCAUAUAAAUCCAUAAUAAUAAUAAUACUUUGCAGUUCAGCGUCUGCUGAUUGUUGUGAGUUCAAUUUUGAUUGAUGUCUUGUUACAAAACAAAUAAUAUAAAACUUAACGAAUCUGUCACAAUAAAUUAAUGUGUAAUAGACGAAUGCUAAAUA